rnacentral:lncRNA from 1 species
CCUGGGAUGUCCUCAGAGCUCUUUCUGCACGCGACCGAGAGCGCACCUUUCUUGUUUUCCUUUUAUAUUGACAAAGCUUUUGUCCGGUUAAAAUAUUAUUAUUUAGACUAAAAACAACCUGAGGAUUGAUUAUAAACAUCGUUUGACAUGUUUCUACGAACUUCACGGAUACUAUUUGGAAUUUUCGUAUGCUUCUUGUGACCGCAUUUGAGCCAUUGGAUUACUGAACAAAACGUGCCAACAAAAUGGUUAGGUUUUUGGAUAUGAAGAGGGACUUUAUCGAACAAAACAAACAUUUAUUGUGUAACAUGGAGUCUUGUGAGUGCAACCAUACGAAGAUCAUCAAAGAGGACCUGAGUCCUUGGACCAUGCCUCAGGACUACCUGGCCGGAUGUCUCCUUGCUGUCCCCAGUCCACCUGGUCGUGCUGCUGCUCCAGUUUCAACUGUUCUGCCUGCGGCUAUGGAACCCUGACUUGUUCACCAGACCUAUCUGUCCCAGACCUGCUGUUUUCAACUCUCCAGAGACAGCAGGAGUGGUAGAGAUACCCUCAAUGAUUGGCUAUGAAAAGCCAACUGACAUUUACUCCUGAGGUGCUGACAUGUUGCACCCUCUACAACCACUCUGAUUAUUAUUAUUUGACCCUGCUGGUCAUCUAUGAACAUUUGAACAUCUUGGCCAUGUUCUGUUAUAAUCUCCACCCAGCCAGAAGAGGACUGGCCACCCAUCAUAGCCUGGUUCCUCUCCACGUUUCUUCCUAGGUUCUGGCCUUUCUAGGGAGUUUUUCCUAGCCUCCGUGCUUCUACAUCUGCAUUGCUUGCUGUUUGGGGUUUUAGGCUGGGUUUCUGUACAGCACUUUGUGACCUCAGCUGAUGUAAAAAGGGCUUUAUAAAUACAUUUGAUUGAUAACCAGCACACUUCUGUAUGUUGUAAAAGCGUUACAUGGUCGCUGCCCAUAUCUUUGCAUAGUGAAGAAAAUACACGAGAGUUCAGGGGCCUUGCUUUAACAAAGUUAACCAUUUUCACUGUAGUGUCCAAUACAUCUUUCAAGCUGUCAGGCAUUCCUUUGGCAGCAAGAGCCUCUCGGUGGAUGCUGCAGUGUACCAAAUUGGCGUCGGGAGCAACUGCUUGCACGCGCGUUACCACUCCACUAUGUCUCCCUGUCAUGGCUUUUGUGCCAUCAGUACAGAUACCAACACAUCUUGACCACCAAAGUCCAUUUGAUGUCACAAAGCUGUCCAGUACUUUAGAAAUAUCCUCUCCUGUUGUCCUGGUUUCCAGUGGUUUGCAGAAGAGGAUGUGUUCCUUAAUUGACCCCCCAUAAACGUAAUGGACAUAUACCAGGAGCUGUGCCAGGCCCGCCACAUCUGUUGACUCAUCCAGCUGUAAUACAUAGAACUCACUGGCUUGUAUGCGAAGCAGUAAUUGUUUCAAAACAUCUCCUGCCAUGUCACUGAUGCAUUGUUAAACAGUGAUGUUUGAUAAAGUUGUCUGUGUAGUUGUUUUUGCUUUUUCCCCAAGCAUUGUCCCAGCCAUAUCCGCGGCAGCAGGAAGAAUUAAGUCCUCCACAACAGCAUGGGGCUUGCCUGUCCUAGCCACUCAGUAGCUCA